GCAUAGUACGGGAAGAAAGGGAAAAGACCCCCGGGAGGGGAGGAAAGAGAACCGGAACCCGGGUUUACAAACUGUGGAGCACGUUAAGGUGCGACCGCGUACUUUUGGUAGAACGGUCCGGCGAGUAGCCGGUGCUGGCGAGGUAAAAUGGUAGAGCCAUGGAGCCGAAGGGAGACCAAGUCUCAAAUGGGCGUAAAGUCAGCACAGGCAGACCCGAAACCGGGUGACCAAUCCAUGUCCAGGAUGAAGCGGAAGUAAAAUUCCGUGGAGGUCCGGAUCCACAUCCGUUGAAAAGGGUGGGAAUGAGGUGUGGAUAGGGGAGAAAUUCCAAUCGAACCCGGAGAUAGCUGGUUCUCCUCGAAAUAGCUUUAGGGCUAGCCCCGUAUUAGUUUAGCGGAGGUAGAGCACUGAAUUCCUAAGGGGGCGUCAAAGCUUACCAAGGGAUAUCAAACUCCGAAUGCCGCAUAAAUGAUGUACGGGAGUCAGACUGCACGAGAUAAGUUGGGCAGUCAAAAGGGAAAGAGCCCAGACCUACAGCUAAGGUCCCAAAGUGUGUGUUAAGUGGAAAAGGAUGUGGGAUUUCAGAGACAACUAGGAUGUUGGCUUAGAAGCAGCCACACAUUCAAAGAGUGCGUAAUAGCUCACUAGUCGAGAGGUCCUGCGCCGAAAAUGUCCGGGGCUGAAACACAACACCGAAGCUUAGGAAUGUAGUGAUACAUUGGUAGAGGAGCAUUCUUAAAGGGAAGAAGCAGUACCGGUAAGGAGCUGUGGACAUUUAAGAAGAGAGAAUGCCGGAAUGAGUAGCGAGAUGGAGGUGGGAUCCUCCAGGCCGAAUAUCCAAGGUUUCCAGAGUAAAGCUGAUCUGCUCUGGGUAAGUCGGGGCCUAAGGUAAGGCUGAGAAGCGUAGCCGAUGGACAACAGGUUGAGAUUCCUGUACCGCGUAUCAUCAGAACUGUGGGGACACAGAAGGACAGCACAGCCCGGGAAUGGAAAGACCGGGGCAAGCAGGGUAGGAGUCAAGCUGGCAAAUCCGCUUGACGAUCCGAAGCUGUGAUGCGGAGCGAAUUUAAGUAGCGAAGUGUGUGAUUCCGGCUGUCAAGAAAAGCCGCUAUCGUGUGAUACGUGCCCGUACCGUAAACCGACACAGGUAGAUGAGGAGAGAAUCCUAAGGCCGGCGGGAGAAGCAUUGUUAAGGAACUCGGCAAAAUGACCCUGUAACUUCGGGAGAAAGGGUGCCUGGGAAACCAGGCCGCAGAGAAUAGGCUCAAGCAACUGUUUAGCAAAAACACAGGUCUAUGCAAAACCGUAAGGUGAGGUAUAUGGGCUGACGCCUGCCCGGUGCUGGAAGGUUAAGAGGAGGGGUUAGCGCAAGCGAAGCUCUGAAUUGAAGCCCCAGUAAACGGCGGCCGUAACUAUAACGGUCCUAAGGUAGCGAAAUUCCUUGUCGGGUAAGUUCCGACCCGCACGAAAGGCGUAAUGAUUUGAGCGCUGUCUCGACAAUGCACCCGGUGAAAUUGAAAUACCAGUGAAGAUGCUGGUUACCCGCGCCAGGACGGAAAGACCCCAUGGAGCUUUACUCCAGCUUGAUACUGGGAUUCGGUACUGCAUGUACAGGAUAGGUGGGAGACUGAGAAGCUUGGACGCCAGUCUGAGAUGAGUCGCUGUUGGGAUACCACCCCUGCGGUAUUGGAUUUCUAACCUGCAGCCGUGAACCGGCUGGGGGACAAUGUCAGGCGGGGAGUUUGACUGGGGCGGUCGCCUCCGAAAGGGUAUCGGAGGCGCUCAAAGGUUCCCUCAUAAUGGUUGGAAACCAUUAGAAGAGUGCAAAGGCAUAAGGGAGCUUGACUGCGACACCGACGGGUGGAGCAGGUAGGAAACUAGGACUUAGUGAUCCGGUGGUAUGAAAGUGGGAUUGCCAUCGCUCAACGGAUAAAAGCUACCCUGGGGAUAACAGGCUUAUCACUCCCAAGAGUUCACAUCGACGGAGUGGUUUGGCACCUCGAUGUCGGCUCAUCGCAUCCUGGGGCUGUAGCAGGUCCCAAGGGUUGGGCUGUUCGCCCAUUAAAGCGGUACGCGAGCUGGGUUCAGAACGUCGUGAGACAGUUCGGUCCCUAUCCGGCGUGGGCGUAGGAUAUUUGAGAGGAGCUGUCCUUAGUACGAGAGGACCGGGAUGGACGGGCCGCUGGUGUACCUGUUGGAGUGCCAACUCCAUGGCAGGGUAGCCAAGCCCGGACGGGAUAAACGCUGAAGGCAUCUAAGCGUGAAGCCCCCCUCAAGAUGAGAUAUCCCAUACGCAGGUAGUAAGACCCCUUGAAGACGACAAGGUAGAUAGGUCAGAGGUGGAAGUGUGGUGACACAUGGAGCUGACUGAUACUAAUCGGUCGAGGGCUUGACCAA
rnacentral:rRNA from 1 species